rnacentral:lncRNA from 1 species
UGCAGAUUGUAACAAAUCCACUGGAAAGUCAACUAAAGCACUAAUAAAAAGAGGAAAUCUACAUUUACCAUACUAGAGUUACACGGCCAAAUAGAGAACGUAUAAAUGGACAUCUGAGCUGUAAUUCUUAAAAAGUUUCGAUUUUUCUAUGCAGACGUCAAAACCCAGAAGAUAUCACAGAGCGUGGUCAGAUAUAACUUCUGGAGGACACAGUUAUGCAUACCGUUUGAUACCAAGACCUAAUAGGGCUAGAUGACUGUGAGGGAUUCUAAUUUCUACAGCCUUAAUGGAGCAAUAAAGACACUGAUGCA